UUUGGGAAGUNCCNNUGGUUGCNCCCCUUUUGCAAUUUUUAAUUUCCNCCAGUUACUUCCCGCUGCCCGUUGCUNCUUUUAUGGGCGAGGGGCCGGCCGUCCCCUGCAUCAGGUGCGGGUCCCCCGUAGCUUGAUGGCCUUCCCGGCGGGACGUGGUUGAUGCGAAGGGAUACGCGAAAGGCCUGCCGGCCGGAUAGAAAGGUAGGUGACGGAACCGCUGGAAAANGGUGAGAUGGAUGAGAAACCUUGGGAUUUUCCGUUCUNCCAANUGCAGACACCCGGCCGCAAUCGACCAAGUUUCACAUACGGAGAGAUCGGCGUACNCGAGCGGCGACAGGAACGUCGGGCAUUUGCUGUGGCGACCUCGCCGAUGCUGCUGCCUCUCGCAGGUACAAAUAANUUCGGGGNGCGUAAAAA
rnacentral:misc_RNA from 1 species